CAAACACACAAUGCCACUUGUGAGGAAUAACUAAUCAGACCCUCGAAAUACCUCUGAAGAGCCCUAGAUGCCAUAAGCAUAAGCUCGCCACCGGCACACACUACCUCUUCAGAAGAAGAAUAAAAAGAUGGACAACAUAUGGCCAGAGGCAUUACCUCAACUGUACUCCUUCUGUCUGAGGCAUUGUCUCAGACUCAGGAGUAGGGAGAUAGUAUUGAGGUAAUUAUUAUGCCUCAGAUCCAUGAAC
rnacentral:lncRNA from 1 species